rnacentral:rRNA from 1 species
GACGAACGCUGGCGGCGUGCUUAACACAUGCAAGUCGAACGGUGAAGCGCCUUCCUUUUUGGUGGGUGUGGAUGAGUGGCGAACGGGUGAGUAACACGUGAGUAACCUGCCCCCUUCUUCUGGAUAACCGCAUGAAAGUGUGGCUAAUACGGGAUAUUCUGGGUCUGUCGCAUGAUGGGUCUGGGAAAGAUAUUGUUUCGGUGGGGGAUGGGCUCGCGGCCUAUCAGCUUGUUGGUGGGGUGAGGGCCUACCAAGGCGGUGACGGGUAGCCGGCCUGAGAGGGUGGACGGCCACACUGGGACUGAGACACGGCCCAGACUCCUCAGGGAGGCAGCAGUGGGGAAUAUUGCACAAUGGGCGAAAGCCUGAUGCAGCGACGCCGCGUGAGGGAUGGAGGCCUUCGGGUUGUGAACCUCUUUCGCCAGUGAAGCAGGCCUGCCUCGUUUGUGGGUGGGUUGACGGUAGCUGGAUAAGAAGCGCCGGCUAACUACGUG